UACAGAGGGUGCGAGCGUUAAUCGGAAUUACUGGGCGUAAAGCGCACGUAGGUGGCGACGUAAGUCGGGUGUGAAAGCCCCGGGCUCAACCUGGGAAUUGCAUUCGAGACUGCAUUGCUGGAGUACGGAAGAGGAAGGCGGAAUUCCCGGUGUAGCGGUGAAAUGCGUAGAUAUCUGGAGGAACACCGGUGGCGAAGGCGGCAUCCUGGACCGGUAUUGACGCUGAUGCGCGAAAGCCAGGGGAGCAAACGGG
rnacentral:rRNA from 1 species